UACGAAGGGGGCUAGCGUUGUUCGGAAUUACUGGGCGUAAAGCGCGUGUAGGCGGGUCUUUAAGUCAGGGGUGAAAUGCCAGGGCUCAACCUUGGAAUUGCCUUUGAUACUGGCUAUCUUGAGUUCGGGAGAGGUGAGUGGAAUGCCGAGUGUAGAGGUGAAAUUCGUAGAUAUUCGGCGGAACACCAGUGGCGAAGGCGACUCACUGGCCCGAUACUGACGCUGAGGCGCGAAAGCGUGGGGAGCAAACAGG
rnacentral:rRNA from 1 species